AUACUUACCUGGCAGGGGAGAUACCAUGAUCACGAAUGUGGUUUUCCCAGGGCAAGGCUUAUCCAUUGCUCUCCCGAUGUGCUGACCCCUGCGAUUUCCCCAAAUGUGGGAAACUCGACUGCAUAAUUUGUGGUAGUAGGGGACUGUGUUUGAGCUUUCUCCUA
ensembl:snRNA U1 U1 spliceosomal RNA